rnacentral:rRNA from 1 species
GUUGAAAAGAACUUUGAAGAGAGAGUUCAAGAGUACGUGAAACCGUUCAGGGGUAAACCUGAGAAACCCAAAAGAUCGAAUAGGGAGAUUCAUCGACGACGAAGUCGGCUCCCGUUGGUGUGCGAUACCUCGCUUGGGUCUUCUAGAUCCGAAUGCCGAGGCACGCCACCUGCGGCGUACGAUCGACGACGUAGUCGUGCAAUUCUCCCUUAGUAGAACGUCGCGACCCGUUGUGUGUCGGUCUACGGCCCGAGCUGUUGCCUGUCGCGGCGCCAUCCGGCGCUCGCGACAGAGGCUCGGUCGCCCAGCCGGCUGCACGACGGUACUCUCUGACGGUAUCGGGCCGCAACCAAUCCAUUUUAAGAAUGUGUGUGCGUCAGGCCCGCCGCAAGCUCGGACAGUUCUUACCCGGAGUGUGCGGACGUAAUGCCCUCCCCGGGUCUGGCCAGCUGUUUGCAGGCGGUGUCCUUGGACUGGCCAAGCUUUGAAUUACCGGUCGGCGACGCUACUGCUUUGGGUACUCUCAGGACCCGUCUUGAAACACGGACCAAGGAGUCUAACAUGUGCGCGAGUCAUUGGGACAUGUAAACCUAAAGGCGCAAUGAAAGUGAAGGUGAACGACACUUGUGCCGUUCACCAAGGGAGGAUGGGCCGUCUUAAAUCCCGGCCCCGCACUCCCGGGGCGUCUCGUUCUCAUUGC